rnacentral:rRNA from 1 species
AUUGAACGCUGGCGGCAGGCCUAACACAUGCAAGUCGGACGGUAGCACAGAGGAGCUUGCUCCUCGGGUGACGAGUGGCGGACGGGUGAGUAAUGUCUGGGGAUCUGCCCGAUAGAGGGGGAUAACCACUGGAAACGGUGGCUAAUACCGCAUAACGUCGCAAGACCAAAGAGGGGGACCUUCGGGCCUCUCACUAUCGGAUGAACGCAGAUGGGAUUAGCUAGUAGGCGGGGUAACGGCCCACCUAGGCGACGAUCCCUAGCUGGUCUGAGAGGAUGACCAGCCAAACUGGAACUGAGACACGGUCCAGACUCCUACGGGAGGCAGCAGUGGGGAAUAUUGCACAAUGGGCGCAAGCUUGAUGCAGCCAUGCCGCGUGUAUGAAGAAGGCCUUCGGGUUGUAAAGUACUUUCAGCGGGGAGGAAGGCGAUAAGGUUAAUAACCUUGUCGAUUGACGUUACCCGCAGAAGAAGCACCGGCUAACUCCGUGCCAGCCGCCGCCGUAA